rnacentral:snRNA from 1 species
AUUGCUUCUCAGUCUUUUGGCUAAGAUCAACUGUAGUAUCUGUUCUUAUCAGUUUAUUUAUUUAUUUUUAAAAAGAUUUUAUUUAUAUAUUCAUGAGAUUUUAUUUAUUUAUUCACGAGAAACACAGAGAGAGGCAGAGGGAGAAGCAGGCUCCCUGCGAAGAACCCGAUGGGGGACUUGAUCCCAGGACCCCCAGAUCAUG